UUUCGGAACACUUGUUUGCAUCAACAAUAUUUUUAACAAGCACUACAAGCUCGUUCCAAGUCAUGAUUGAAUUUAUCCUAAAGACUCCUGGAAAUUUAUGUUCGAUACAUACUAGUCAUUUUUAAAUAUGUGCAAUUUGCAAA